rnacentral:misc_RNA from 1 species
GGGAUUCCAGACCAAUUUCAGAAGCAGGUUCCUCCAAUCUCUUCCUCUCAGCUGCUUGAAAAUCAAUCAUUACCUGAAUGAGAGCCAAAGCGAUCCUGUAUAACAUGACAUCAGUGCUAUUUUCUCGCACAAUUUGCACCUGCUCCCCCAGAAUCCUAAAUAAGUCAACGGCGGCAGGUGUAUAUAGUUUCCCAUCAUCAGUCUUUUUAGGUGGCUGUACUUUGUCUGCCUCUAGGAUAUUCAAGUACCAUUUCUUUGUUGUAGCUUGC